AGGCAGCAGUGGGGAAUAUUGCACAAGUCGGGGGAAACCCUGAUGCAGCCAUGCCGCGUGUGUGAAGAAGGCCUUCGGGUUGUAAAGCACUUUCAGUAGGGAGGAAGGUAGUGUAGUUAACACCUGCAUUAUUUGACGUUACCUACAGAAGAAGCACCGGCUAACUCCGUGCCAGCAGCCGCGGUAAUACGGAGGGUGCGAGCGUUAAUCGGAAUUACUGGGCGUAAAGCGCAUGCAGGCGGCCUGUUAAGUCAGAUGUGAAAGCCCCGGGGCUUAACCUCGGAAUUGCAUUUGAAACUGGCAGGCUAGAGUCUUGUAGAGGGGGUAGAAUUUCAGGUGUAGCGGUGAAAUGCGUAGAGAUCUGAAGGAAUACCAGUGGCGAAGGCGGCCCCCUGGACAAAGACUGACGCUCAGAUGCGAAAGCGUGGGGAGCAAACAGGAUUAGAUACCCUGGUAG
rnacentral:rRNA from 1 species